rnacentral:rRNA from 1 species
AGAGUUUGAUCAUGGCUCAGGAUGAACGCUAGCGGCAGGCUUAAUACAUGCAAGUCGUGGGGCAGCAGUCCCGUAGCAAUACGGGAGCUGGCGACCGGCAAACGGGUGCGGAACACGUACGCAACCUUCCUUUAAGUGGGGGAUAGCCCAGGGAAACUUGGAUUAAUACCCCGUAAUAUUAUGAGAUGGCAUCGUCUUAUAAUUAUAGCUUCGGCGCUUAGAGAUGGGCGUGCGUCUGAUUAGGUAGUUGGCGGGGUAACGGCCCACCAAGCCUACGAUCAGUAACUGGUGUGAGAGCACGACCAGUCACACGGGCACUGAGACACGGGCCCGACUCCUACGGGAGGCAGCAGUAAGGAAUAUUGGUCAAUGGACGCAAGUCUGGACCAGCCAUGCCGCGUGAAGGAUGAAGGUCCUCUGGAUUGUAAACUUCUUUUAUCUGGGAAGAAACCCAUAGUUUCUACUGUGGUUGACGGUACCAGUUGAAUAAGCACCGGCUAACUCCGUGCCAGCAGCCGCGGUAAUACGGAGGGUGCAAGCGUUAUCCGGAUUCACUGGGUUUAAAGGGUGCGUAGGUGGGCAGGUAAGUCAGUGGUGAAAUCUCCGGGCUUAACCCGGAAACUGCCGUUGAUACUAUCUGUCUUGAAUGCCGUGGAGGUGAGCGGAAUAUGUCAUGUAGCGGUGAAAUGCUUAGAUAUGACAUAGAACACCAAUUGCGUACGCAGCUCGCUACACGGUUAUUGACGCUGAGGCACGAAAGCGUGGGGAUCAAACAGGAUUAGAUACCCUGGUAGUCCACGCCCUAAACGAUGAUCACUCGACAUCAGCGAUACACUGUUGGUGUCUGAGCGAAAGCAUUAAGUGAUCCACCUGGAAGUACGACCGCA